GGUUCGGUGGUGUAGUUGGUUAUCACGUCAGUCUAACAUCAGUUCAAUCUAAUCAAAUUGGACUGUUGCGAGAUCACUGAAGGUCCCCGGUUCAAACCCGGGCCGAAUCA